rnacentral:rRNA from 1 species
GAUAAACGCUGGCGGCGUGCCUAAUGCAUGCAAGUCGAACGAGGCAGACCUUGGUUGUCGAGUGCGGACGGGUGAGGAACACGUACGAGACCUGCCCUUGGAUGGGGAAUAACCCUCCGAAAGGGGGCGUAAUGCCGCAUACGGUCCCUCGGCAGCAAGGCUGGGGAGGGAAAGCUCGAAAGGGCGUCCGAGGAGGGGCGUGCGGCCGAUUAGCUAGUUGGUGGGGUAAAGGCCUACCAAGGCGACGAUCGGUAGCUGGUCUGAGAGGAUGGUCAGCCACACUGGGACUGAGAUACGGCCCAGACUCCUACGGGAGGCAGCAGCAGGGAAUCUUGCGCAAUGGGCGAAAGCCUGACGCAGCAACGCCG